UUUAGAAUCAACAGCUCAAGUAUGAAACGAAGCACGGUCAAGUGUUUUGGACAUCCCUUUGAACGCUUGUACACAUUCUCCUCCGCUGAUUUCUUCACUGUCUCGAAGUUUGCUAACCCCUUUGCACUUUCAACCAAUAGUUCCGCUUUGGUGUGACGCAACAACUGGCUCAGGAAAUCACUAUCAUCAAAUUCAUCAUCGCCACUACUAUCAUAACCGCCAUUGUCAUCACCACCCUCGU
rnacentral:lncRNA from 1 species